GAGAGUUAAAUAUACCAUUUUCCCAUUUUAGGGACGAAGAAACUGAGGUGAGGUCACCUGCCCGAGUGAUGCAGCUAGUUGGCAGCAGAGUGGGACCGGAACCCUGCUGCCAGGAAGGUAUUGUGGGGGCUGAGUGGGACUUCCUUCUGGACAACAGAGGGGAGCAGAGAGCUCUGGGACUACCACAGAGAAGCUGUCAGAAAGCAAAGGGAGACCGGGCCCAGGGGCUCAGGUAUGUAAUCCCAGCACUUUGGGAGACCAA
rnacentral:lncRNA from 10 species